CUUUAACUAUAGGCAUUGAGGUUGAAAAGCUCAGAAAUUGUGUGUUGUCUAUCUACUCUUUCUCCCAAAUUAAUGUGGAUAGGGUUAAAAUUUCGGCAUUAAAUGG